rnacentral:rRNA from 1 species
CUACGGGAGGCAGCAGUGGGGAAUAUUGCACAAUGGGCGCAAGCCUGAUGCAGCCAUGCCGCGUGUAUGAAGAAGGCCUUCGGGUUGUAAAGUACUUUCAGCGGGGAGGAAGGUGAUACGGUUAAUAACCGUGUCAAUUGACGUUACCCC